rnacentral:rRNA from 1 species
UACGGGGGGAGCAAGCGUUGUUCGGAUUUACUGGGCGUAAAGGGCGCGUAGGCGGUCAGCACAAGUCAGUUGUGAAAUCUCCGGGCUUAACUCGGAAAGGUCAACUGAUACUGUGCGACUAGAGUGCAGAAGGGGCAACUGGAAUUCUCGGUGUAGCGGUGAAAUGCGUAGAUAUCGAGAGGAACACCUGCGGCGAAGGCGGUUCUCUGGGCCUUACCUGACGCUGAGGAGCGAAAGCAUGGGGAGCAAACAGG